rnacentral:rRNA from 1 species
UUCGAAGCAACGCGAAGAACCUACCAGGCCUUGACAUGCAGAGAGCUUUCCAGAGAUGGAUUGGUGCCUUCGGGAACUCUGACACAGGUGCUGCAUGGCUGUCGUCAGCCCGUGUCGUGAGAUGUUGGGUUAAGUCCGUAACGAGCGCAACCCUUGUCCUUAGUUACCAGCACGUUAUGGUGGGCACUCUAAGGAGACUGCCGGUGACAAACCGGAGGAAGGUGGGGAUGACGUCAAGUCAUCAUGGCCCUUACGGCCUGGGCUACACACGUGCUACAAUGGUCGGUACAAAGGGUUGCCAAGCCGCGAGGUGGAGCUAAUCCCAUAAAACCGAUCGUAGUCCGGAUCGCAGUCUGCAACUCGACUGCGUGAAGUCGGAAUCGCUAGUAAUCGUGAAUCAGAAUGUCACGGUGAAUACGUUCCCGGGCCUU